UAUAUAGUGAUUGGAGGGACGCAGUAGGCUAAGAUAUGCCAGUUAAUGGAUUCUGGUCUAAGCAGUGAGGUUUGGUAUGAGUCAAAUGCUUGUACCUUUAAGAUUGAGCUGUGAUGGGGAAGCACUUUCGAGUGCGAAGUAUCUGAUGUCACACUGCCAAGAAAAUCUUCUAGCGUUUAAUUAUAACCUACCCGUACCGCAAACCGACACAGGUAGUCGAGGCGAGUAGCCUCAGGUGAGCGAGAGAACUCUCGUUAAGGAACUCGGCAAAAUGACCCCGUAACUUCGGGAGGAGGGGUGCUCUACAUUUGUAGAGCCGCAGUGAAUAGGCCCAAGCGACUGUUUAUCAAAAACACAGCUCUCUGCUAAAUCGUAAGAUGAUGUAUAGGGGGUGACGCCUGCCCGGUGCUGGAAGGUUAAGAGGAGUGCUUAGCGUAAGCGAAGGUAUGAAUUGAAGCCCCAGUAAACGGCGGCCGUAACAAUAACGGUCCUAAGGUAGCGAAAUUCCUUGUCGGGUAAGUUCCGACCCGCACGAAAGGCGUAACGAUUUGGGCACUGUCUCAACGAGAGACUCGGUGAAAUUUUAGUACCUGUGAAGAUGCAGGUUACCCGCGACAGGACGGAGAGACCCAUGGAGCUUUACUGCAAGUUGAUAUUGAGUAUCUGUUGCACAUGUACAGGAUAGGUAGGAGCCAUUGAACUGAGGACGCUAGCUUUCAGUGAGGCGUUGUUGGGAUACUACCCUUGUGUCAUGGCUACUCUAACCCGCACGGCUAAUCGUCGUGGGAGACAGUGUCUGCUGGGCAGUUUGACUGGGGCGGUCGCCUCCUAAAGAGUAACGGAGGCGCUCAAAGUUUCCCUCAGCAUGGUUGGAAAUCAUGCGUAGAGUGUAAAGGUAUAAGGGAGAUUGACUGCGAGACAUACAAGUCGAGCAGGUACGAAAGUAGGACUUAGUGAUCCGGUGGUACCGCAUGGAAGGGCCAUCGCUCAACGGAUAAAAGCUACCCUGGGGAUAACAGGCUUAUCUCCCCCAAGAGUUCACAUCGACGGGGAGGUUUGGCACCUCGAUGUCGGCUCGUCGCAUCCUGGGGCUGUAGUCGGUCCCAAGGGUUGGGCUGUUCGCCCAUUAAAGCGGCACGCGAGCUGGGUUCAGAACGUCGUGAGACAGUUCGGUCCCUAUCCGCUGCGGGCGUAGGAAAUUUGAGAGGAUCUGCCCUUAGUACGAGAGGACCGGGGUGGACUUACCGCUGGUGUACCAGUUGUCUUGCCAAAGGCAUCGCUGGGUAGCUAUGUAGGGAACGGAUAAACGCUGAAAGCAUCUAAGUGUGAAACCAACCUCAAGAUGAGAUUUCCCAUUCUUUAUGAAUUAAGAGCCCUGAGAGAUGAUCAGGUAGAUAGGCUAGAAGUGGAAGGGUAGUGAUGCUUGGAGCGGACUAGUACUAAUAGCUCGAGGACUUUACCAG
rnacentral:rRNA from 1 species